UUGGAGAUGCUCUAAGUGUCGGACGAUUUUGCCUCUUAUUUCUAGUCUCUUCAACUGUUUUGCCCCUGCAUGGCUUGGUUGCGUGGCUUGCAGAGUGAAUGUAAAGGAAACAGAGUGGAUAUGGAGAAAGAAAGCCAGAGAGAGGUCUUCUCCCUGUUUGGUAGAGAGAGAGAAGAGGGAGAUUCUGGGUUGCGCAUCUUCCAGCUCCGGCGACGACUAAUUAAAUUUCUUGGUGGAGUCGUAUUUGAGCAUAAUUGGAGAGCCAAAGAGCCAAAGCUACAGUCUGUAUUUCGUCAGGUCAUUUGCUGGGUUUUGGGGGAAUAUGGAACUGCUAAUGGAAAGCAUUCUGCUUCAUAUAUCACUGGAGAGAAGGGAAAUUGUAUAGUUAAUGGACAAUUGGAAGGAAUAUGUUCAAGCCAUGAGAAUCUCGCCUGUCUUUCCUGAGAACCGUUUAAAAAUUGGUCAAGAGCUUACCAGGGGUCUUGGUGCUGGAAGAAACCCAUGCCAGACAUUGGUGUGAAUGCUGUCAAAGAAAGCCUAGAAUCAUAGAAGAAGCACUAUAUGGGUCAGACAUGGUAUUCAUUAUGGCUAGAAUGGGUGGAGGAAUUCGCACUGGUGUUGCUCCGGUAGUUGCAGGUGUUGCAAAAUCAAUGGGAAACUUCAAUAAUUUGCCCUGCUGCUUUUCCCAUAGUUUGCUCAUUACCCUUGCCACCUGUUGAUCUGUUGAGCCACCACCUAAUUACUUUGAGUGAUGGCGGGUCGCCCUUUCUCUGCUGAGCAGAAGAGACAGGAGCUGAAAGAGAGACGUUGUUUGCCUGGCAGAAAGAGAGUUGAAGAGGUGGAUUGAUAGAGGGUGACAUACGCAGAGGUUGUAUUCGUUUUCCCAGGCGUUGUUGAGAUUGUUAUUCAUUUUGAAGCUUAUGGAUUUUCAGGGAGGAUGAGCAUAGUAUCAAAAGAAAUUGACUGAGGAAUGUGCAACCAAUAAUUUUUCUUAAUCUGUUUCAGUUUUUGCUAAAUUCUGUCAUUUCCAGUGUUUUCUGAAAUCUAACUCACUCAAUUUAAUGCCUUUUAUGUUAUUCUUUAGGUGAGACAGAGAUGAUUGUUCCUCUUCUUUGCUACAGAAAUUGAGCCGCUGGAGAUUUCAUUUGCAGUAGUUGUAAUUAUUUCUUAUAUCAAUGCUGUGAUUUGGUGUUGAAGCAUCUUUCAGUCAUGCAAAAACAAAGGGUUUUUUGUGGUUUAUUGGAUUCCCCACAAUCCAGGCUGAGGGACUUACAGUGGAGGUGAUACUUUAAACCGUGAAAAUAGGGUGUUACUUGAUCAUUGGACGUUGGAAAAGAUGAGGGAUGCUGAACGCCUCAAUGAGGGUGACAUUGUCUUUGCAUCUGUUAUGGCAACUCUUGGACUGCAAAUAUUGCUCGAGUCUGCUUGAGAACUGAUCUCAAAGAAAUGGAUGAUGGACAGGAGAAGUGGAUGACCGCUAUCAUGGUCUCUGUCACAGUAGUGAAGUUUCUCCACAUGGUCUACUGUCAAAGAUUUAAAAAUGAAAUUGUACGGGCAAGGUGAAUUUCAUUGAACCUUGAAGAUAACAGUAUUGACAAGGCAGGGUGAAUUAGUAGCUGGGCUAAAAUAUUGUCAAAAUUGGGAAAAAACCGAAAGAAUGCGGAAAGAGUCCACAUACUCUUUCGAUAAAUGAUCGCGUCAAUGAGCAUCUCUAAAAGGCUAAAUUUAAGUAUCAUGUUUUUAAGUUUGAUUUUAUAUUUUGGUUAAUUGUUGUAGUUAAACAUAUAUCAUACCCGCAACAUC